CCUACGGGAGGCAGCAGUGAGGAAUCUUGCGCAAUGGGCGAAGGCCUGACGCAGCGACGCCGCGUGAGGGAUGAAGGCCUUCGGGUUGUAAACCUCUGUCAGGGGGGAAGAACCCUCGGGCGGUGAAUAACCGCCCGGGCUGACGGUACCCCCAGAGGAAGCACCGGCUAACUCCGUGCCAGCAGCCCCGGUA
rnacentral:rRNA from 1 species